GUGGGCGGGCGGGAGUAGUUAUCGGGCAUGACUAGAAAUCAUGUGGGCUUUGCCCGUGUAGGUUUGAAUCCUGCUGCUCACG
rfam:Ipomoea nil DNA, scaffold: scaffold2283, cultivar: Tokyo-kokei standard.